ACUCUGGACCAGCACUAAUCCGAUCACUUUGCAGACUGGGUUGUGCGAUACCACUGGGAUUUGAAAAGUCUUUUCAAGCCCAGCUAACUGUACAAAUGCUCAGAAGCUGGUCUGGGCAGGAAAGAAAGCCAUGCGAGCUGGAGGAUAUACCUGUCUAUCCCAACAUUUAAAAGCAGGGAAGGGGUUUGACAAUUUCACCCAAGACAUCUGGGAUGGAGAUGUGGAUAUACAGAUUGCACUGCAAGUCGUAGGCAGAUUUCCAAAGGGCAUCUUCAAUGGCUACAAAUCAGAGCCUGAAUUGUCUUUGAUGUGUGGGUGAAUUAGCGGAUGGAGUAAAAAAGGCCAACCUCUCCUCCACCCUGGAAUAGAUUUCAUUAUCUAUGAAGAAUGCAAUAUGACAUGAAAUGGACAACGUGAAAGGUCAACCAGAAAGACUGUCAGAUUUGCUGUACUGACUGCGGCUUACUGGGAGAUAUUUAAAACACACAAGCUCCAGCAAGGCUAAGUAUUGAAUCAAGACAGUUACAUUAAUGGGCCUUUAACAGACGUACUAUAUAUUUUUUUUAUACUACACAGAAACCACACAACACGAGUACCAUUACAAGAUACAUAGCAUAUGGCCACCAUUAAAGCUCAAUUAU
rnacentral:lncRNA from 7 species